UACAGAGGGUGCAAGCGUUGCUCGGAAUUAUUGGGCGUAAAGGGUAGGUAGGUGGUCUUGUUUGUCUGGGGUGAAAGCCUUGAGCUUAACUCAAGAAGUGCCUCAGAAACGGCAAGACUAGAGUACUGGAGAGGGUCGUGGAAUUCCCGGUGUAGCGGUGAAAUGCGUAGAGAUCGGGAGGAACACCAGAGGCGAAGGCGGCGACCUGGACAGUAACUGACACUCAACUACGAAAGCGUGGGGAGCAAACAGG
rnacentral:rRNA from 1 species